rnacentral:lncRNA from 1 species
AAGGCAGGUUGAACACCGCUCUGGAAGCCCACAGUCCAGAGGCACGAUGCCAGCACUCAAGUGAUCAUGUGAGCCAACAUAAACACAGAAUUACAAACUUUAUAACACUUAAGUGUUACAAGUGGCAGGUGUUAAACAGGAAUAGCACAGCUAUGAAAAAAUGCAAUAUAAGGAACUGAUUAAACUAUGAUGUAGUAAGCGCAGGGCAACAUGAAAACAUACUGGCCUUUCAUCGAGGAGUAAAAUAGAGAGACUAUGUGAUUACUUUAUCAAUUAGGGGUGUUUUGCUAACUUGUUUUGGAUAACCUUUUUAACCAAGGUUUCUCAACCUUGGCAAUAAUACUGACAUCUGGACUGGACAAUACUGACAAUUGGAUCCAACUGGACUGACAAUUGGAUCCAAUCCAAUACUGACAAUUGGACUGGAUCAUCUUUUGUUGUGGGGGCUGUCCUGUGAAUUGCAGGGUGUUUAGCACCAUGCCUAGCCUCCACCUUCUAGACGACAUUAGCACUCAGUUGUGACAACCAAGAAUAUCUCCAGACAUUGCCUAAUGUCUCUUGCGGAAAUCUCCUCUAACAAAUUGUGAAUCAAUGGGCUAAAAUAGCAAAAAAUAAAACUUACAAUGGCUGGUACCACUAGAAUCUAUUUUGCUCACAGAAGAAGAGGCUGCUUCUUCUAUUGGUUCAUUAAGGACUCUAAGAUUCUCUUGCAUUUUCUCAUUCUUAUGCUUAACGUCAAGCAUUAUGUCCACAUCUGAGGAAAAGAAAAAAGAAAAAGAAGGUAAGGAACAGUGAAGCUCUACCUGUCCCUUACCAGGAAAACCAACAUUUUCCCUUGCCUUGCACAUCAGCCUAAUUUUGUUAAGCUCUUACGAGUGGGAACUGUGUUUUAUAGCCAUUCCUAGUUCCUAGAGAAGCUGACUCUCUUUCCCAUGUCUCUGUCAUGGAUGGAGAACAGAAAAAAGGGAUAUUUUUGGAAUGGAUAUUGUGUUACUGACCAAGUGCCAGCCAUGCUUUCUAAUAACUUCUAAACAUUUCUCUUAUAAAAUAUUUACUUUUAAUUAUGGAUUUGCCUUUUUUCCACAAUAUAUUUAUGUUCUUAUUCUCAAAUCCACUAUAUAAAUAAUAUAUUUUAAGUAUCUAGUUUUAAUUGUAAUAAUUUAACGUCAGUGGAUAGAAGAUGUCAUUUGACUCUAUACUUACAUAUUGUAUAUACCCACAUAUAUAUAUAUAUAUAAUAUGUAUGCGUGUACUCUUAUUCAGGUGAUAUUCUUCAACCACCCCGUUCAUCUUCAUCAAAGAAAGAUGAAUCGCCAUCAUUCUUUUGCCAUGUUCAUUUUUACCACUUAUUCUAUGCUUAUCAUUUUGACAUCACAGGGAUAUACAUUAUAUUUUUUCUUAUUACCAAGUUUUUAAGCACUUAACUACAAAAUGUCUUCUCAUAUAUUGAAGUUUAUGACAUGUCUCAUAGUAAGAAAUCAGUAUUGUUUGUGGAAUAAAUAAAUAAAUGGAAUAGGCUAGUAUGGUUGACUGAUAAUUAUAGUGAAAUCUUUGUUAAAAUGUCGUUAUUCUUUUAAGAUGUGCACGGCACCACAGUGUUGAAUCCUAAUGGUACCAUCUCAUAUCAUCAAAAGCUUUUUGUAGCCCAUCCAAUCAUAAAAUAAUACCAAGUUCAAAAAAAAAAAGAAACAAAGUUACAUGUGGAUAGAGAAUGUGCUAUAAUGCAUUAGUGCCUUCUCAAUUAAAAAAGGAGAUCAGUAAAUACGCAAACACCACUCACACCAGAAGGUAACAUUUCUGUCAAAUAAAGCAGCCACUUAGAGUGGAUAUAAAAGAUUAAUGCUUUCACCAGCCUUCA